rnacentral:rRNA from 1 species
UACGUAGGGUGCAAGCGUUGUCCGGAAUUAUUGGGCGUAAAGAGCGUGUAGGCGGUCCGGUAAGUCCGCUCUGAAAGUCCGGGGCUCAACCCCGGGAGGCGGGCGGAUACUGUCGGGCUAGAGUCCGGAAGAGGCGAGUGGAAUUCCUGGUGUAGCGGUGAAAUGCGCAGAUAUCAGGAGGAACACCGGUGGCGAAGGCGGGUCUCUGGGCCGAUACUGACGCUGAGGAGCGAAAGCGUGGGGAGCGAACAGG